rnacentral:lncRNA from 1 species
GGAUCAGAUUUUGGACUCUCCACAUAUUUGAAUUAAAGUUCAAAACAAUUGAAUUUGGAUUUUUUCGAAAGAAUUUAGGUUGUUUAGGAUAGUGAACGACUAUAGCAAACAUUCAGCGUCUGAGAAGUGAACUUACGCUAUGACAUGUUUACAAUACCAAACAUGAUCAAGAAAAUUUAUGGGAAGACAAAAAGAUUCUCCG